rnacentral:misc_RNA from 1 species
AAGUCGUAACAAGGUUUCCGUAGGUGAACCUGCGGAAGGAUCAUUACAACGUAUCCACGUAUCAAACUAGUGCACUGUUCCCUUUAGAGCAAACAACUUGUGGAUGAGGUCAAUGGUCGAUUGCUUUCCGCUGAUGGAGUUCUGGAUUUUCAUCUAAGAACUGGAAAGCGUUCGGCCGCCGAUUGGGAUGGUCGCGUUUCGGCGUGCUGUCUCGAGAGGGGCUUCGUUUGCUCUAUUGCGGUUUUGCGACCGUCAGCGCUUUGUUUCACCAUUAUUAACCCUCUGUAAAUUUUGAACUGAACUUGGAAACUGGUCACUGCUGUCCUUGCUGGCUUUCGCCACGGAUGGCGCUAUGGUGGCCGCGUUUUCCUGAUUAUAUCAAACAAAGAACAACUCUUAGCAACGUAUAUCUUGGUUCUC